GAUGAACGCUGGCGGCGUGCCUAAUACAUGCAAGUCGAGCGAACAGACGAGGAGCUUGCUCCUCUGACGUUAGCGGCGGACGGGUGAGUAACACGUGGAUAACCUACCUAUAAGACUGGGAUAACUUCGGUAAACCGGAGCUAAUACCGGAUAAUAUAUUGAACCGCAUGGUUCAAUAGUGAAAGACGGUUUUGCUGUCACUUAUAGAUGGAUCCGCGCCGCAUUAGCUAGUUGGUAAGGUAACGGCUUACCAAGGCAACGAUGCGUAGCCGACCUGAGAGGGUGAUCGGCCACACUGGAACUGAGACACGGUCCAGACUCCUACGGGAGGCAGCAGUAGGGAAUCUUCCGCAAUGGGCGAAAGCCUGACGGAGCAACGCCGCGUGAGUGAUGAAGGUCUUCGGAUCGUAAAACUCUGUUAUUAGGGAAGAACAAAUGUGUAAGUAACUAUGCACGUCUUGACGGUACCUAAUCAGAAAGCCACGGCUAACUACGUG
rnacentral:rRNA from 1 species